rnacentral:rRNA from 1 species
CCUACGAGAUGCAGCAGUGAGGAAUAUUGGUCAAUGGACGAGAGUCUGAACCAGCCAAGUAGCGUGAAGGAUGCCUGCCCUAUGGGUUGUAAACUUCUUUUAUAUGGGAAUAAAAUGUUCCACGUGUGGGAGUUUUUAUGUACCAUAUCAAUAAGGUUCGGCUAACUCCGUGCCAGCAGCCGCGGUAAUACGGAGGAUCCGAGCGUUAUCCGGAUUUAUUGGGUUUAAAGGGAUCGUAGGUGGAUUGUUAAGUCAGUUGUGAAAGUUUGCGGCUCAACCGUAAAAUUGCAGUUGACACUGGCAGUCUUGAGGACAGUAGAGGUGGGCGGAAUUCGUGGUGUAGCGGUGAAAUGCUUAGAUAUCACGAAGAACUCCGAUUGCGAAGGCAGCUCACUGGACUGCAACUGACACUGAGGCUCGAAAGUGUGGGUAUCAAACAGGAUUAGAUACCCGGGUAGUC